rnacentral:rRNA from 1 species
UUCCAAGGGAAACACACAACUUCUGUUUCAGAGGAUAACAUGAAGCAAAACAAAACAUCGCAGAGGACAGGCUGCAAUGCAAGAAUGAGGGUGAAGGUGCAGGAGGAUAACACAUGUGUGGUAGUGGACAUUGAGUACAAUCAUAAUCACCACCUCAUGCAAACUGAUGACAUGCUGGUAUUCUUGCACUGACACAAGAAUUAUGACCCCACUAUUUUGGAGUACGUAAAGCUCCUGUAGUACGAUUAUGUCAAGCACACAACAAUCAUGUCCAUGCUAUCUGAAAAUGAAGAUGGAAGCUACUUCCUAAGCAUGACCAGACGAGACCUACUAAACCAGAAAGCCAUGAAUGCAAGGAAAGAUGAUUUGCACGAUGUAUUGAAACUUGUAUCUUUCUUUAAAGACAUGAAGGCAAUCAAUGAUGAGUUUUUCUAUGACAUACAAGUAGAUGCAAGCUGCCGAGAAGCGUAUCAAGACUUUGGAGAUUGCAUAACAUUCGACACAACUUAAAAAACCAACAGAUUUCAUAUGCCUCUGGGAGUGUUUGUUGGAAACCAUCACUUGCAGUUAACGAUAGUUGUUGUUUCCCUGGUCAGAGACAAAGAUGCAAAGUCAUUCAAGUGGCGGUUCGAUACAUUUGUACGGUGCAAGAACAACAAACACCCAACUUGCAUUCUAACAGACCAGUGCCCGUCGAUGGCUAAAGCUAUACCACAAUCAUUCCCUAACACCGUCCACAAGCUAUGCCGUUGGCACAUCCUGAAGAAGUUCAAGGAAUACCUCGCGUUGUUGUACAAAAAGUAUAAAACAUUCAAAGAGGAGUUCACAACAAUCUUAAACUAGCUGCUAAUGCCAACGUAAUUUGAAGCUGCCUGGGCUGCACUCGUGCAAAAGUACAACCUGUAGAACGACCAUAUGAUGAUACAGCUGUGGAGUGAUAGAAAAAUGUGGAUAUAAGCAUAUCACAAGAACAUUUUCUGUGCUAGAAUGACUUCUACACAACGAAUCGAGAGCAUGAAUCACGUGCUCAAGAGAGGGUUUGUCAAGGGGACCCAGAACCUACACAAGUUUGCUAGGUGGAUAAAUGCUUGCAUACAAACUCGGAUGUAG